rfam:Moniliophthora roreri strain MCA 2952 kmer90.96848, whole genome shotgun sequence.
GGCACUAUAGCCAAGUGGUUACGGCGACAGAUUCGAAUCGAAGGUUUAUCUGUUCCUCUUUGAGGGCGCAGGUUCAAAUCCUGCUGGUGUCG